AUGGUGAAGGCUAGAGCGGGAGAGACGGAUCUGGUUUCAGAACUCUCUGCACGGAGGACUCCCAGCCAGGUGCUGGGCAGCCACGUCCCAGGAAGCACCCCGGAAAUGCUAACUAGGAUGAGACUCCGGCGGUGGCAAGGCUGGCGAGAGUCCUGGGAACUCAGUGGCUGUCAGCAGCAUCUUCUUGGAGAGCUGAGGGCCUGGCCUGGAUCCCAGGGCAGAAGAGUCAUGGAUGGGGACACAGCAUCUGCUCCCAGGAGCGUGGUCCUGCAGAGAUGCAGGCACCUUCUGGUACUCAGAAGCAGAACAGGAGGAAGCUGGCAAACAUGUUUUAACCUGGGACCGUGGAGCAGAAAGUGGAAGGACCCAGGCCUCUGUUAGCCAUGGACAAGAGGGAGCGUCUCUGGACCGUGAGCUAGGCCACCUGCACCUUCCCCAGC
rnacentral:lncRNA from 1 species